AGCAGCCGCGGUAAUUCCAGCUCCAAUAGCGUAUAUUAAAGUUGUUGCAGUUAAAAAGCUCGUAGUUGAAUUUCGGGUUCUACCGUUGGUCGGGCUAUCCGGUCUGUACUGAUGUGUAGAAUUUCUACCUUCUGGGGAACCAUCAUGUUAUUAAUUUAGCGUGGUGGGAAACCAGGACCUUUACCUUGAAAAAAUUAGAGUGUUCAAAGCAGGCUUACGUCUGAAUACAUUAGCAUGGAAUAAUAAAAUAGGACGGUGGUCCUGUUUUGUUGGUUUCUGAAUCACCGUAAUGAUUUAAUAGGGAUAGUUGGGGGCAUUAGUAUUCAAUUGUCAGAGGUGAAAAUUCUUGGAUUUAUUGAAGACUAACUUCUGCGAAAGCAUUUGCCAAGGAUGUUUUCAUUAAUCAAGAACGAAAGUUAGGGAUCGAAGACGAUCAGAUACCGUCGUAGUCUUAACCAUAAACUAUGCCGACUAGGGAUCGGACGAUGUUAACUUUUAUUGACUCGUUCGCGCCUUACGG
rnacentral:rRNA from 1 species